rnacentral:misc_RNA from 1 species
UUGUUUACGUUUCAUAGUCACGGCAGGUGAGGGUUAGUCACACGGCCUUAUGAAUCGUCACGAUCAAAAUGUUUGGCGGUUAUCACACUCGAUUGCUCAAGCGGAUGUAAAAUGUGGGUCGUGAGGCCCCGGAGGACUUCACUUCCCAGAAAACAGAAACGUUCCACGGUACGCAAACGGGAGUUCGUGAAAACUCCCGAGUUUUGGUGUGGUAAUGAUCCUUCCGCAGGUUCACCUACGGAAA